rnacentral:rRNA from 1 species
UACGAAGGGUGCAAACGUUGCUCGGAAUUAUUGGGCGUAAAGCGCACGUAGGCGGCUUAGCAAGUCGGAAGUGAAAGCCCUCGGCUCAACCAAGGAAGUGCUUUCGAAACUGCUGAGCUUGAGUAGUUAAGAGGAUCGCGGAAUUCCCGGUGUAGAGGUGAAAUUCGUAGAUAUCGGGAGGAACACCAGUGGCGAAGGCGGCGAUCUGGGAACAUACUGACGCUGAGGUGCGAAAGCGGUGGGAGCAAACAGG